GUUUUGCAACUUUCUUGUUGGUUCGGUCUCCUCGUUUCCAUUCUUCUUGUCAUAGUCGGCUAAAAUCGAAACCCUUGCGAGUGUUGAUCUAUGUUACAACGGUUAGUGAGAUGAUUGCAUUGGAUCCAUGAUGCUACUUUACAAAACUGGCAUCAUCUAUCCGAACUUCCUGUUCAAGGGAUUUAAGAUGAUGUUCCAUUCUGAGAUCCAGACCUUUUGUAACAUGUUCACUGUAUAUAUAUAUGUCUCUUUCAGGUUAAGUUCAAUAGCAUUAGAGCUAUGUUUAUUAGUCCAAUUACAGUAAGGCUUAACAUGUUCACUCUUAAUGGAAAAAUUAGUGUUUUUGUCAGUUGACAUUCACUUUUUAUAUGAACAAUGCCUGCUUUUUCCUGUAGAUUUACAACAAAACUUGAUUUGUUUGAUUAUUCACGGGUGCAUUAAUCACUUGGACAUGAUUUGUAUUUUGCAUUUGAUUAAAGAUUAGAUAUAAAAGUGUAUAUUUAACCAAUAUCUUGUUUAAAUGGAAUCUAUCUUUUGCAUUGUUUAUAUCUUUGUUUUAGGAUCAGUUUGAGGCUUUGCAGGUACUAUCGAACUAAGAAAUUGUAGCAACCAUGUGCAGUUGCAUGCAGCAUGCUGAGAAGCCCUUUUUCGAUCUUACUAACUGCUGGGGAACUGGAUGUUGACUUUGGAAUGAUUAUUGGUCUGUUGAGUACUACAUUUAGAUCCUUCACCAUGUGCACUGAAAUUUUAUAACAUUCAAAAACAAAUAUGACCUGGAACGUGGUGACUGUACCAUUGUUUUUCUCUUUUUUUCUCCUCUAAAAGAAUAAAGAUGAAGCUUUAUUAGAAA